rnacentral:rRNA from 1 species
ACUCAAAGGAAUUGACGGGGAGGCGCACAAGCAGUGGAGCAUGUGGUUUAAUUCGAUACAAAGCGAAAAACCUCACCAGGACUUGACAUGCAGAUGCUAAGCCUAAGAAACUAGGCCUCCUUCGAGGGUUCUGCACAGAUGCUGCAUGGCUGUCGUCAGCUCGUGGCGUGAGCUGUAGGGUUAAGUCCCGAAACGAGCGCAACCCGCACCGUAUGUUAAAUAAUUCAUGCGGAACUGCCCCUUUUUUGGGGAGGAAGGCGCGGAUGACGUCAAGUCAGCACGGCUCUUACGUCCUGGGCUACACACAUCCUACAAUGGACAACAACAACGAGUUGCAAACAGGUAACUGUAAGCUAACCUCUGAAAUUUGUCCCCAGUUCAGAUUGAGGGCUGCAAUUCGCCCUCAUGAAGUCGGAAUUGCUAGUAAUCGCGAAUCAGCAGGUCGCGGUGAAUACGUUCUCGCCUCUUGUACACACCGCCCGU